rnacentral:lncRNA from 1 species
GAAAAAUUCAUAGAUUAACAUGGUGGCUUUAAUUUGCAUGCUUAACAAUGCUAAAAUAUGGUUUUGGGCAGAACAAUACCAAAUUGACAAUAUGCAUAUGGGGAUUUUAUGGAAUUGUUGUUUGUUAUUUCCGGCCUCAUGUUAAACUUGCCUAAAUAGUUGCUUACUUAUGCCUCAUCUCUUGCCAUGUUAACCAACACUUAAUAUUGUUGAGUACCUAACCGGGAGUGAACUAAAUAACCGAAUGUGGUCUUUUGUCAACAUGCUUCUUGUUACAUGUUGAGCUCCACUUAACUUGUAGUUUUAUUUGUGCACUUUGCCAUGCCAUGCAUAUUUGAACCGAACAUGCAUUAUCCUUGGCUGUGCAUCAUGCCAUGUUUAUGCUUGUGUGUUUACCAUGUUGUUUGCUUCUUCCGGUUUGCCUCUCUCGUUAGCUUCGGUUUCGUUCCAGAGUUGUGAUGAUUCUUAUUCCUUGCGGGAUCUUAGGCAAGAUGACCAUUACCCUCGAUAUCACUUCUAUCUUUGCUUGCUAGUUGUUCACUCCACCACUAUGUUGUGCUAGCUACCACUUGUUUAUCAUGCCUCCCAUAUUUCCAUGUCAAGCCUCCAACCCACCUUCCUAGCAAACCGUUGUUUGGCUAAGUUACCGCUUUUGCUCAGCCCCUCUUAUAGCGUUGCUAGUUGUAGGUGCCUUGCAGGUUGUUCCAUGUUGGAACAUGGAUAUGUUGGGAUAUCACAAUAUCUCUUAUUUUAAUUAAUGCAUCUAUAUACAUGUCAAAGGGUGGAAGGCUUGGCCUUUUGCUCGGUGUUUUGUUCCACUCUUGCCGCCCUAGUUUCCAUCAUACCGGUGUUAUGUUCCUUGAUUCUGUGUUCCUUACGUGGUCGGUGUUAUGGGACCCCCUUGACAAUUUGCUUUGAAUAAAACUCCUUCAGCAAGGCCCAACUUUGGUUUUAACAUUUGCCUAACAACAACCCAAAAUUUUGCAUAGAGAGUAAUUAACCUAAGGAUCAUCUUUAUUCAAUGUCCCCAGGCCCGUGCUCCUCUAUGUGUUGGUCCGAACCUAGUAGACUGCGAGGCCACCUCGAGGAAACUUGAGGGUUGGUUUUACUCGUAGGAUGUCACAUACGCUGUGCCCUGAGAACGAGAUAUGUGCAGCUCCUAUCAGGACUUAUCGGCACAUUUAGGCGGUCUUGCUGGUCUUGUUUUAACAUUGUCGAAAUGUCUUGUAACCGGGAUUCCGAGACUGAUCGGGUCUUUCCGGGAGAAGGAAUAUCCUUCGUUGAUCGUGAGAGCUUGUGAUGGGCAAAGUUGGGAGACCCCUGCAGGGUAUAAACUUUUGAGAACCGUGCCCGUGGUUAUAUAGCAUAUGGGAAUUUUGUUAAUAUCAGGUUGUAGAGAACUUGACACUUGAAUUAAUUAAAAUGCAUCAACCGCAUGUGUAGCCGUGAUGGUCUCUUUUCGGCGGAGUCCGGGAAGUGAACACGGUUUGGGUUAUGUAUGACCGUAAGUAGUUUCAGGAUCACUUCUAGCUUCACGUCUGUUGCGUAGUUUCUCUUCUUACUCUUGUACUCGUUUGUUAGCCACCAUAUUUUGCUUAGCGCUUGCUUCAACUCCACCUCAUUACCUUAUCCUACCCACAAGCUUAAAUAGUCUUGAUCUCGCAGGUUUUGAGAUUGCUGAGUCCUUGUGACUCACAUAUACUACCAAAACAGUUGCAGGUUCUGCUGAUGCCAGUGCAGGUGAUGCCACCGAACUCAAGUGAACAAAACUAUUUAAGCUUGGUUGGGACGAUCGGGCAUCUAGCAUUUGGGGUUAUCUUAUUUUCAUUUGGAUUUGUCCGUAGUUGACUAUGUGUGUACUCUGAAUGAUGUAUGAAUUAUUUGAUCAUUGUGUGACAUGGCGAUUGUAAGCCAACUAUAUUUAUCCCUUUCUUGUUCAUUACAUGGGAUUGUGUGAAGAUGACUCUUCUUGCGACAAAACCACAAUGCGGUUAUGCCUCUAAGUCGUGCCUCGACACGUGGGAAAUAGAGCUGCAUCAUGGGCGUUACAGGGGGCAAGCCUCGUGGAGCCCAAUCUACUGUGUUGAUGUGAGGGACUGCCAGGGCACGGGCGUGGCACACGGGUAGUUUGACCGAACCUUGUCUGUUGCGUUCCCAAUCACAGACGCUUUCUACAUCCAACUCUUGUGUUGUUUAUAAAUUUGGCAAAAAUAAUAACGCGGUAGAGGGUCAGAACACGAACACACUUGCAUGUGGACCAAAUAUAUGUAUGAAAAGGGUGGUUUGAUGUUUGAAUACCCAAUGCACAACUUUAAUGUGGCACCUGUCGCACAAAAGCAAAGUAUUGCUAGUCAGCCACCCCUACUAAUCCCACUUCAUGUCGGCGGUUAGGGAAUCCUAGCUACGAAUGCAUGCCCCCAAAUAGUUAGGUCUGAAAUCUCACCCUAUCGUAAGACAAAACCUAUAGGAGUCCAUCAUAUAUAUAUGGUCAAACAUCCCCUUUUGCUUCCCGACAACGGUGGACUGUGUGCCGACCCACAAAUGUGUGCUUGUGGUGCGAGAUGAGUGAGACCACAUAUGAACCACAUGCGGGUGGCCCUACUAUAUGUAUGAAAAGGGUGUGGUGUGUGAUAUGUAACUACCACUCACAACUUCUGAUGUGGCAUGUGUGCCUCGCAAAUUAACCAGACUUCCCCGACCCCACGGAGGUUGCAGGUAGCGUCAUGUAGUCCCCCCCCCACACACACACAUCGGGGGGAGGGCAUCUCACCCAGACGUACUGUAACACGGACCAAGCAGAAUCCAACUUGGUCGUACAACCUCUCCCCGCUCGUUGUUGGUCAAAGUGAUGGAUGUCCACAUGGCCUAGAAAAAUGGGCUAGCUUGUCACCGAUAACCUCACGAGGGGGUAUUUUAUGAAGACAAACUCACCCUGUGCAUGUGGCCAAGUAUGUAUAUGGAAGUGCUGUGUGUGGUGUUUGAAUACCCAAUGCGCAAAUUUGAUGUGGCACCAUUGCUUUGGAACCGUAAAAUCCCCACACCGAGCGAGGGUUCACGACGUGUAGCAUGCGCUCAAACUUAAUUAUGCUUGUAAUGGGUCGACCUACUAUACGCUAACUCGAAGCAAAGAAGAAUAAUAUAUCCACCCUGGUAACUUUUCUCGUCGUUGGUCGAAAUGAUGGACGUCCACGUGGGCCCACGCAUAUAUAGGCUUGCCGCCCAUAACCAAGCGAGUGAGAGUGCAUCCAAAGACAACCAUUAUUGCAUGUGUGUGUCCUGAACAUAUUUAUGGAGGUGUACUAUGCAUGCAUAUGUGUUGAAUACCCGACCCAAUGCACAACAUUAAUGUGGUGCAUGCGUUGAAAUUCAAAGAGGUCGCCACACAGAGCAAGAGGUUUUCCAUGACAUGUCGUGUGCUCGCCCCCCUUCGAUCCAGCGGGAUGGAUUCAUGUGUACAGAUGCACUAUUAUAUAUAUGUAAUCUCACAUCAUGAUCUAUAUCCAGACAAAACAAAAAUUAAUCCCCUCCUAAGUCAAAUUAGUUAACCUCUCUCGCACUGUCGGUGAAAGUGAUGGACUAAGCUGGUCACCACCACCCCUCGACACGUACUGUAUAUACACCUAAUAACAUAGCCCUAAAAGAAUUAAUCCUCCUUGUUUGUCAAAUGCGUACCUCUCUCUCACUGGGUCAAAGUGAUGGAUGAUGAACUCGCAGGCCCAACACAGGAGCGAAGCGUACGUCGCACGCGAGUGAUCAUCCUAUAUAGGACUAUGUACUACCGUCUGCAUGUGGCCUAAAGAGUUGUUUGUGUGAUGUUUGAAUACGCAAUGCACAACUUUGAUGUGGCACCACGUAUAUAGGAAACCAAAAAGUCCCCACAAAGAGUGCAAGGUUCAUGACGCGUGGUAUGUGCUAUAUGUACGCCCCAUUCGACGCGUGGUAUAUGUACUUUUAAUUUAUAGCACAAACCAAAAAAGAAUCAUUCCUUGAUGAUCAAAUUAACCUCUCUCUCAUUGGGUCAAAGUGAUGGAGGACAACCUCGCAUGCCCAUGGAUCGAAGCGCCACAUGCCAGUGAGUUCCUAUAUAUAGGGCAACCACCAUCUGCAUGGUAUUGCAUGAUGUUUGAAUACCAAUAUAAUGUACAACUUCGAUGUGGAACCUGCCUCAGGAACCGAAAAGUCCCCACAUGGAGCGAGGUUAUGACACACAUAUAUAUAUAGAGUAUUCAUGUUGCCCCCUCUUUGACAUGUACAUACUCCUAUACCGUGCAUAUAUGUAUCACAAACCAAAAAAGAACCAUCCUUGUUGGUCAAAUUAACCUCUCUCCCGUUGUAUGUUCAACUAGUUGAUGACGACCACGUGGGCCCACAGACAGAGGCACACAUGACAGAUGUCAUAGGACAAAACCACUGCCUGCAUGCGCCCGUGUGUUAUGUGAUGUUUGAAUACCCAAUGCAAAACUUUGACAUGGCACAUGCUUCGCAAACUAGAAACGCACUACACCACGAUGCGUGUAACCCCCUCACUUCAAAGCAGUGGGAGUGUGUACGCAUGUGCUCAAACUUUGAUAUGGAAUCCCACCAUCAUCCACACCACACACAAGCCAAGAUGAAUCCACCUUUUGGUUAAAUGCCUCUCGUUAUCAUUGGAAACUGAAAACCUUUGCGGGCUACCGAAUGGGACGUCGCUGAUAACCGCACGAGGGAGAGUGUCCGAGAGGACCACCGAUGCAUGCAUGUGGCCCAACCAUUAUGUAUGAAAGGGUUGUGUAAUUAUUUAAAUAAGCAAUUCACGACUUUGAUGUGGCAUAUAUGACUCAAAAAAUGAUUAAUAAUCCCACACGGAGGUUCACGACUCAUAGUGUACUGCCGGACCCCCCCGCCCCGCACCCCCCACACACACAAACACACACACCCUGCACCACCAUAGCCACUCUAAGGCAUGCCAAACUUUUUCUGCAGUGAACAUGUGAUGAAAGGCAGAGUGUCGUGUUAUUUUUUUAGAAAAAUAGGCCUCAUUCGACUAUUUUUAUACACUAAUCAUUUUCCUAGGGAUUUAAUGUGCAAAAAUCAAAUUUGAGCUACAUGUGCACCAAAAUGGGUUGCAAAAUCAUAUGUGUCCCUGGGUGCAUGUUUCCCUAUGCAAGAGAUUUCAAAAUAUUGAGAAUAUAUAUUUUUAAAAUUCAGUAAAUCCAAAACUUAGUUCAAAUUCAUGAAACUUAUCGUGGUGUCAUAUAUGGACACGAGUAGACUGCGACAAUGUAUUUUUUUGUCAAUGACACCCCUUUUUGAUAUAAUCUUCUUACAAUUGGGAGAUUAUUAAAACCUGGCAACCAAUAUCUCAUACGGAUUAUUUAUUCGGACCAUGAGCGUUAGACCGUGCCAUGCUUCAGUUAAGCAGUAAAGCGACAAAAUGAAUCAUCAAUAAACGAAAAAAUAUAUGUGCUGCCACACGUCCCGUGUGCCAUGGGAGCAGGCGUGAGUUGACGGGAUGCAUGCGAGCAGUCUGCUGCGCAGGCAUACCAUGAGGCGUGCAUGCAGGUGUGCGUAUUGAUGGGAGGCGUGCGAGUAACUGUGUGAAAUGAUGGUAGGAAUGGCAGAAGUCCGCCGCGUAGGCUCACCGGGAGGUGAGACAUCUUUUGACCAUAGUCUGCCUCGCUCCCACUGGUCCGUAUUAAUUGUGCGCCCGAGCCACCGGCCAUAAUAGGAGGUCGCAUCCCCAGUCCACAGUGGUCACCAACGUCUGGACUCUGGAGUGUCUGAGGAUGCCGCCGAAGCGCACCAUCGGACGGAGUAGCGAUGCCAGGGCUGGUGAACCACCCACGCAACGCGUGAAGCUGGGCACAGAGGUUGCCUUCGCUGCCGACGAGGUCUUGUGCGGGCAGCAGCACGACCUUGACUUCAUCGGCGCUGUCGUGCACCCCCCUAGCCAGAGCCGGAGGUCAACAACACCCACCCUCUAAUUUUUCUGUAAUUCAAAUCCUAUGGUUAGGUUCUUUCAGUCCAUGAAAUCAAGCAAUUAAGAUCCGUUAGAUGCACGUAGUGUAUUGAUUGUUUGAAUGUUAUCCGUAUAGACUUAGUGAUUAAUUGGUUGUUCUGUACAAAAGUUUUUUUGCUAAUAAUCCGACUAGGGUUAGCUUGCGUGCUAAUAUUUCGUGGCCAGAUCUUGAGAAUUGAUUUUGAAUGUCCUACAUGUAUGUUUGUGCCUUUUUUCUUCUAGAUCUUGAGAAUUGAUUUUGAAUGUCCGACAUGUAAGUUUAUGCCAUCUUUUCUUUCAGAUUGGUACGUACAUAGAUGAGGCUCCAGCCAGUGUCGCCGGAUGAUUUAGAUCUUAGACCCGGCUAUGCGGCCAGAAGCGCCCCCCUGGACCUGAGUAACCAGUAGAAUCUCUGGCGGACCGCAUCAGCGAUCUCCCGAACGACAUCCUUGGGGAGAUCAUUUCCCUUCUCCCCACCCAGGAUGGCUGCCACACACAAGUCCUCGCAUCUCGGUGGCGCACUCUAUGGCGCGCCGCGCCUCUUAAUCUUGACUGUCGUCAGCUAUCUGUCAAUGAUGAUUCUGAACUCCCUGGAGCCAUCAUCUCCUCCCACCAGGGCUCCGUUCAACGCAUCUGCAUCCCAGCAUGCUACUUGCUGGACAUACCCUGCACGGUGGCCGCCUAGCUGACAUCCCGUCUAUUCGAUAAACUCCAGCAGCUUGAGUUCUACCAUUACUAUAGCGAUAGGUUACCACCAAUAGCUGCAUCUGAGCCCUCAUCACCGAUUCCCAUCUCACGGUUUUCCUUCUCUAUCCACAGCUCCUCCUUGACCCGGUGCCAUCUAGCAGACAAUCUGGUACAAAUGCUUUGACCGCCACUUCUGAAAAAACAUGCACUUGUGUUGGUUCAUCUGUCGGAGGCCUCACUACACAGCAUCAUCCACUCCAGCUGCCCUACACUAGAGCGUUUGAUGCUUGUUUUGGGAGCAGUUAUCGAUAUGCCUUGUCUCAAAAUAAUGUCGCCCCACCUUGUAAGAAUUGGAAAUAGUUUUGAAGGAUAGGAGCUCAUCAUCCAAGAUGCCCCUUCACUUCAAAGGUUGGUUCUUGAUUGUUGUUAUAAACCUUCGCAAAUAACUAUGGUCUCUGUGCCUAAACUGGAGACCUUGGGUGCAAUUCGUGAUCCGUUUAAAUUGUUCGAGAUGGUGUUUGCCUCCACACCUAUUGAGGUACUGCAUAUUAUUCACUUACACUUUUGUAAUUUGCAUUUUUCAUUUGUGCGCAUAAGUUAAGUAUCAUCUUGGAGUAUACUUUCAGUGCUAAUAUUAUGUUCUAUGCUCAAUGAAGCACUUGUCCAUCCUAUCAGUGGUGGUGGAUUCUGUCAAGACCAUAUAUAUCAGUAGGUGGUGUUUUGAUGACAACAUCAUUAUUGCUUUACUGCAAUGUUUUCCAUGUCUAGAGACUUUGUAUACAAAGGUGAUGAUUUCACGCACAUCGAAAGCCCAUAUAUAAUGUACUGUAAUUAAUCAUCCAACUAUCACUCUUUCAACAUAAUCCUUUUUAGACAUUAACUGUUUUCAAUCUUCAUCUCUAUUUAGGAAACAACACUUGGAGGAAAAGGUAUAACCAACCGAUGGUUGAUGAAGCAUGGGGAUUUUCUCAGAUCUCAUGACAUUCAUUUGAAGACAGUAACGCUGGAACGAUAUUCAUACAAUAGUGCAAACACUAUAUUUGUCACAUUCUUCAUGUUGAAUGCGAGGGCACUAUUGUCUGUGAGGAUUAAGUUUUUCAACAAGAAAUUACUCACGGCUGCAAGUGUUGAAGAGCAUAAAAAGAAGUUUCAGGUGGACCUAAGGGUUUAUGAUCGUGUUUGGCUUCUAUUUACAACAGCUUGUGGUCAUCAUGGAGUAGUAGAAUUAUUGUACUGGGAUCUUGAUUUUAUGGAUCGGACUGGUCCAUUUGAUUGUAACUGCCGAAAACUUUGGUUGAGUUAGAUGUCCUGUUCAAUCCGGGUUAUGUGUAAACCUGAUGAACAAUUAAUCCUCGUGCUUUUGUACCUUUUGUAAGCUGGAGUUAGACAUUGUGGCCCUUUUCAACUAGGGUUUGACCCACAUUUUCUUUCACACUGGGUGUGUGUGUUCCUAUAGGUACUACCUCUGUCGUGGUUUAUUCUUUAUUGGCCCCCUUCGUAUUUUGUACUACCAAACUUUGACCUUAGAUUUAACUGAAAAUAUAUUAAUGCAUGUCAUCAAAAAUAAGUGUUGGACGGUUGUUUCCAAGUAUGUUCAUGUGCUAUAUGCAAUAAUUAACUCUAGUGUACACAUAAUCGCACACGAAUUAACUAUAGUAACCAUUUAUUUUAUAUUUUUUCAUCACAAAUAGUUCAUCCGAGUGGGCUGUUUGCCGCAUAUCACACACAUCUUGUUUACAUGAAUCGUUUGUGUUUUAUUGGCUCAUUGCAAACAACUCAUCUAUGUGAACUGUUUGCCGCAUAUCACAUACAUCUUGUUAAGUUGAACCGUUUCUGUUGUGUUCCCUAAUCAAAAAUAGUUUGUAUGGAUCACACACACAUUGAUAUGGCUGCUCGUUUAUGUUGUUCUGUCUAAUCGCAAAUAGUUCGUAUGGAUCAAGUGUAUGCCCCUCAUCGCACACGUAACUAAAAUCUGAACCGUGUUUGAUGUCUCCGCCAUCGCAAAUAUUUUGCAUCUUUUUUGACGGUUUUUUACAUCCCCGUUUGCCAUUAAUGCAUCACACAUAGUUUCGUCGAAGGGUCUCUCAUCGUAGUGUCGUGUUAGCAGCACCCUGUAGUAGUGAAUGGACUAUGCCUUUUCAGUUUGGCGUAAAGAAGUUUUACCACAUGUCUUACUAGUACUAGGCUGCUCAAGGCUCACCCGUCGGGUGGAGCAUAUUAGUUACACUGUUGUCCUAUUCAUGAGCUUACUAGAAAUCGCCCCAAUCUCAUAGGCUGAGAGUAGCAGUCGGGCUCAUAUAGUUGUGUUCCUCCAAAGAUCGCUCUAUAGGACAACAUCUUUGGAACACAUUAAGAUAGUAGUCAUCCUACCAUACAAUAUCCAACAUUAUUGCAUCUCCAACGGAGUGGGUUAGUAUCGUUACUCUCCUCGGUUCACCACUGGCUUGUUUUCCCAAUUCCUCUUUCAUGGGAUCGCCGAUCACAUAGGUUGGAUUACCAUCAUGGCAACUAAUGUGGGUCUCAUACCCAUCUCCCUUUUGUAAAGGGAUCUGCCAGAUUCUUAGCCAUUUGUACAUAGUCCAACGCUAUCACUCGAGAGUUUCUUAAUUUUCUGACAGCUUAAUUUAAAUCUCAUUUGUAUGUGUUUGUUGGACUUCAAGUUGUCCUCUGAACUCUUCACCUUGGUGAUAACUACCUGAUUGUCACAGUUCAUAAGGAUAGCCGGAACCGGCUUUUCAACCAAUGGAAGUCCAUCAAAAGAUCAAGAUCUCGAAGCCAUCCUACUUCGACACCAGAUGUGUCUAACGCUGUUAAUUCUACUUCCAUUGUCAAUCUCAUUAAGAUUGUUUGCUUGCAAGACUUCUUGGAAACAACACCACCUCUAAGAGUAAACAUAUACCUAGUCAUGGCCUUCAUCUCAUCAGCAUCAAAGAUCCAAUUCGCAUCACUAUACCCUUCAAGUACCGACAGGUAUCCCGUAUAGUGAAGUCCAUAGUUCAUAGUACCUUUAAGAUAGCGCAUAACUCUUUCAAUAGCAUACAAAUGUACAUCACCCGGUUUGGAAAUAAACCGGCUCAAUUUGCUCACAACUAACAUGAUGUCAGGCCUCGUUGUGCUCGCUAGGUACAUGAGUUAACCAAUAAUUUGAGAGUAUCUCAAUUGAUCCUUAGCUGUGCCUUCGAACUUUUGAAUCAACACACUAGGAUCAUAUGGUGUUUGAGAUGGUUUGCAGUUCGAAUAUCCAAAACGACUCAACACCGUCUCAACAUAAUGAAAUUGCAGAAGUGUAAUCCCAGUCUCAUUAUCUCUCAGUAGCUUGAUGUACAAGAUAACAUCAGCCACACCAAGGUCCUUUCAUCUCAAAGUUAUGUGAUAAAAAUGACUUAACCUCCUCAAUCACUUUGAGGUUGGUUCCAAAUAUCAGUAUGUCAUCAACAUACAAGCACAUUAUAACUCCUUAGCCCCCACCAUGGCAAUAGUAUACACUUUUGUUAGCUUCAUUAACAAUGAAGCCAACAAAUGUCAAAGUUGUAUUAAACUUGUCACGUCAUUGCUUAGGUGCUUGUUUCAGGCCAUAUAAAGAUUUCAGUAGCCUACACACCUUUCCUUCCUAGCCGUCUAUCACAAAGCCAUCUGCCUGUUGCAUGUAGAUUUCCUCGUCUAACUCUCCAUUCAGGAAAGCCAUUUUAACAUCCAUCUGGUGGACGAGAAGACCAUGCAAGGCUGCCAACGAGAGUAAUACUCGAAUGGUGGUCAAUCUGGCCAUAGGUGAAUAAAUAUCAAAGAAAUCUUCCUCUUCUUUCUAGUCAUAGACCUUGGCCACAAGCCUCGCCUUGUACUUUUCAAUCGUACCAUCGGGCCUAAGGUUCUAUUUGAACACCCACUUACAUCCCAAUAGUUUGCAACCAUAGGGACGUUCAGUGAUCUCCCAUGUCCCGUUAGCCAUGAUGGAAUCUAUAUCACUAUAGACUGCAUCCUUCCAAUUAUCAGCUUCUGGAGAGGCAUAUGCUUCUGAAAUAGAAGUUAGAGUAUCAUUGAUAUGUCUCCGUUAUAUAUAUAAUUAUUGAUUGUUCCAUUCCAAUAUUUUUUGGAUUGUGGAUUCCAUCUAACCCUUGAGGUUCGAAAUCUGGGGUGCGCACAAAGAACACUCUCUCCCUAGUUCGCUCGCUCAAUGAUCUUACGGCCUAGCUCGACGAACCCAAGGAACAAGAGACACAAGGGUUUAUACUGGUUCGGGCCACCUUGCGGUGUAAUACCCUACUCUAGUGUGGUGUUGGUGGAUUGCCUCGCGGGCUAAGGAUGAACGAGUAUAAUGGACGACAGCCUCAGGAUGAGAGGUGUUCUUGAGCUCAGUGAGCUAUCGAUGUGAGGAUGGAAUGGAUCCGAUCCAUGAUGAGUUGAUCCCUACCUAUGGUGGUGGCUGGUCCUAUUUAUAAUGGCCUCGUUCUCUUCCCAAAUGUUAGGCAGGAAGGGAUCCCACAACAUGCACGUCUGAAGGGGGACAACUAGUACAAGUUGUCCUGACAAAAGGUGGUAUUUGAUUGCCAAAGGCUCUGGUGAUGACACUCCAGUGGGCUCCAUGGUGACCUCCAUCCUACCAUCCAGAGGGUCUUGGUCUUGUUUCACCGAUAUGGAAACCUUUGCCUGAUGCCUCGGGACUCCUCGCCUGCACCUGCCUCUUUAGCAUGAAAGGGGAAACUGGCACGAUCUGCCCGCUGGCGCCCGCCUGGCUUUGGUCAUGAUGGCUCACGUCAUGCGAACCUCGUGAGGUGCCCCCUGCAUAGAGAUCUCCCCUCCUUGGGAGCCAGCCUAGUGAGGCUGCCCCCAGGGAGGUCUUGGUGUCGUCCGCCUCGCAAGGCUUGGCCCCUCCCGAGGGUCAUAUAUGGCUACUACUGAAGAUGGGACAUAACUGUCCGUCGGUGGAGCUACGCUCAAGCCCGCAGGUAGGCAAGUCUGGGCACCCUUGGGCCCAGAAUGCCUUUAGUAGCCCCCGGGCCACAUGCACGCUCGGACUUGGCUUCGGGGUGAAGACAAAGGGCAAGUCUGGAGCCCCACGAGCCCCAACCACCUGCGGCCUUGAUUCACGCGUGGCGAUUGAUGGGACGUGGGUGUCUACGCUUCCCCAUGCUGCCUUGGCAACCGUUGGCCUUGACGAGUCCCUCCUGCACGCAAAAAAGAAAAUCAUUACAUGUGAUCAUGGAGGCAGGCGGUUGGCCUCCCUAGGGCUAUAAAUGAGGAGUGGGGCGGAGCCCCCGUUGCUCAUCUCCUUCCCCACUUCGCCUGUUUCUUCUUCUUUGCUUCGCCAUCUCGCUGUGAUGCCUAUGGCACCGAUGAAGAGGUUCUCGGCCGCGAAGAACGGGAAGGCACACCAGGAGGGGCCCGGCUCACCACCGCCCAAGAGGGGGCAUGGCUGCCCCCGCAAGCAUCAUGUGACCCCUGUCGUGGCCCCUUGGGGGAACGGACGCACUCCUUCGGGAACCGGCGCCGUCCUUGGUGGCCGCAGCGCUGCCCCCUCCCGUGGCGGAGGCCACUCUAGGCGGAGCAGCCCUUGCACCGAGGGGAGCCGCACCGUGGUCGCCCAGCCUCCUCGGCCGCGCUUCCAUUUGGCGGAGGUGCUCCAGGAGUUCGUCAUGUGUUCGGAGCAGCCGGCCAGCACUUGGCUCCAACUCCCGCGCUCCUUUGCCGGCGAGCUGCCGAUCGCAGGUCUCGACUGCUUCUGGCUGCAAGCUGACGGUUCCCACAGCAAGGCCUCAUGGGCCGUGGUGGAGGUCUCUGCCGUGGGCAAUGCGGUCCUGGCUCGGGGCGGGCCGACGUUCGCCCGCGCGCGUGGCCUGAGUGGGAGGUGCACCCUCCACUUCAAGUACGACGACGUCGCGGCCCUCUACAUGAGGGUUUUUGGCGAAGAUGGCCGCCACGCAGGGUGCAACCCCAAGGACAGUAGUGGCGAUGAUGGGCGGGGCCUUGACAAUGGCCGUGACAACACGGGAGGCGAGUUCGCCCUUGGCGACGGUCGUGGCUCGUCUGGUGGCGGCAGCUUCUCCUCCAGCGAAAGCUCCAGCAGCGGUGGCUACGACCAGCCGCCACAUCGCCGGGCUCGCUAUAGGACGGUGGUGGGUUGUCCCGCCGCCGCACUCCGGUGAAGUGCGAGGAGGACUCCGGCUGAGUCCCGUGGGGGGCAUCGGGAACCGACCCUCGGGAGCUGCUGUGGGUGCAUGCACCGCUUUUGCUCGUCUUUAACCUUCUUCCUGCAUUCCAAGAAACGAGUAUGGGGCCCUGCGAUGGCGUGUAAUGAAUCGUAAUUUUCAUGUCGAUUGUGUUACGUUUAUUGUUCCUGUGUUGUGUUAUGGCAUUCGUGCUUCAUGUAGACAUAGAGGGAUAACUUAGGGGAAAACUUUGUUUUUGCCACUCUAGUUCUUGCCCAUUUUGCUUAUGCCACUCUAGAAUUUGACAUCUCACUUUUGCCACUCCUACCCUUUGACAAUACAUCACAAAUGUCGUUGGAUGGCAAAAGCAAUAAUUUUUUUCUAUCACUUUUGCCACUCUUAGAUUUUGAAAUAUAUCACAAUUGCCACUCUAAAAAUUUUAUUUUUUCCACGGAAUGGCAAUUGUGAUAAUGGUCAAAAGCUAAGGGUGGCAAAAGUGACAUGUCAAAUUUGAGAGUGGCAUAAGCAAAGUGGGAAAAACUAGAGUGGCAAAAACAAAGUUUUCCCAUAACUUAGCUGGAUGCGCUCGGGUAGUUUCCUGUCUCGUGAGGGCGCGCCCUACGACCCCUGGUGAGCCCUCCUUGCUGCUGGCUCAGGUGCCGUUGACCUCGGGAGGCAUCAUGAAGCUGCAAAAUUUGUUAGGACGUCUGUUGGGUGCCUUAUCCUUCCCUGUGUGAGGCCUCGGGCAUGGGAUUACAACGGCCUAGCGCACCACAUCGCGGUACCCUCACUCGGGCUUGGCGGCAUCUUCGGCAUGGGCGUGGGAGUUGGAGACGCCAUUGAUGGUAGCUGGUUCAGGAUGAGUCCGCACUCCGCUAGGUACCACACCUUUGAGCUGCUCGUUGUUGCUCUGAAGCAUGUCCGCGCUGCCCAUCAGAAAAGCCAGGUUGGUGUUCCUAUUCUUUGCGGCGACGUUGGUGCGGAGUAGGUCGAGCUUGACGACGUUGUUCGUCAUCAACGCCGACCUGCGCGCCUCGGUCUUCUCUUCAUGCAGGAUGGCCCGGGCCUGUGUGUCGGUGAGGCAAUGCUCGAUGGACUCUUGCACUCAUGUGGAGGCCGAGUCGGCGUGCUUCCCCUUCAUGACCCCUUUGUUACGUUCGGGGCGCCCGUCGCCCGCGCCCGGCGUUGGUGCGUCCGACUUGUAGGUCUCCUUGGCCUUGGCGAGGGUGUGCCGGACUUCCGCCCACUUCUUGCACUUCUCGAUCCGCUUGACGACAUGGAGGGACUUGAAGUCUUGGUCGCUGAUGUCCUGGCGAUACAGGGAGAACAUCCACACCAGCUGCACCGAGGAGCAAACAGUUCACCGGCGACCACGGGGAAAAGAAGUGGGGAACCGGCGUACCAUACCUCAUCCUCAAUGCUGGCGCCACUCUUCGAGCGAGCGACGAUCUCCUCAACGAUGCCUUGCCAAUUGUUGCACGCCACCUGGAUGAGCCCCCAAUGGUUCGCCAUCGCCUUCGACCUGUGCUGCAUGUAGACGCCUUUGAAGUAGGGGUCGACGAGCUUGCGCUCGUCGAACUUGGCCUUGAUGUGCUCCCAAUACGUCUCGAUGCUCUCAUUCAUGCCGGUGAUCGGGUUGAGGCAGACGACUUUCCAUGCUUCGGCGAGGCACUCCCGCUCCUUGGACUCCCAGUUGAUGUGCGGCUCGCCGGUCCUGGCCGCCCGCUUCUUCUGUUUCCGUUUCCACGCCGGUGCCGGCGCCGGCUCCUCCUCCUUAUCCUCAUCCUCCUCCUCUUCCUCAUCCCACUCCUCCUCGCCGUAGUCGAGCUCGCCGUCCAUGUCGCCGUCUAGGUCUACCGUGUCGUCCUGCGCUGUGAACCCCUGGGACACGGCGGAGGCGGCCGAGCCUGCCGUGAUGAUGUCGUCCAUGUUGGAUUCGGUCGCGUCGGUGUCGUCGAGGUGCGACGUGGAGGUGUGGGAGAAGGGUAGCGUGCCACGGCGGAGAGGGGGCAUCGGGGAGGAUGUGUAGGCCGGUGGUGAGUAGUUAUACGGAGGGUACUACACGCCGGUGAGGGCGGGCGAGGGCGUCCGCUGGGCCGGGUGACCAUGGGGGAAGGUGAUGUUUGGGUUGAACCCACCAUGCGCGCCCCCGUCAGCAUAGCCCGGCGACGGUGAGCAGCCCCAGGGUCCCCCAGGCGCCCCCACACUCCUUUUCGCUUGUACCAGUGCCCCCGGGCGCUCCUAGCGUGCCGGGUUCGGGUUGGGUGCGCCGACUAUUAUUUCGGCCCAACCCGACGAAAAACAAACUCCUGGGGGCGCGACUGGGCCGAUUUUCGCCUGCCGGUGCUACGUGGGGGGCCUGUUGGGGGCGCGGCUGGAGAUGCUCUUAUAGCUCUUAGUGCAUCUGUUGCAUGGAAAUCCCUACUCCUCGCAUUGAUAUCAAUUGAUGGGCAUCACCAUAGCCCGUUGAUUAGCUGUGUUGAUGUGAGGCUUUCUUACUUCUUGUCUUCUCUAUGUUUACCCCUAUCAUCAUACUCUAUUCCAUCCAUAGUGCUAUGCCAUGGCUUGCGCUCAUGUAUUGCGUGAGGGUUGAAAAAUCUGAAGCACGUUAAAAAGUAUGGACCAAUUGCUUAGCUUGUCAUCAGGGUUAUGCAUUGUAAAUAGUUUGAGUGAAGAAGAUGGAGCAUGACAAGACUGUAUGAUUUUGUAGGGAUAGCAGUCUUUAGCAUUGAUAUUUUGAAAGACAUGAUUGUUUGUUGGGAUGCUUGAGUAUUGCUGUCUUUGUGUGAAAUUAUAGACUAGUGCUUUGAAUCACUUGUGUCUUAAUAUUCUUGCCAUGAUUAGAUUAUAUGAUCAAGAUUAUGCUAGGUAGCAUUCCGCAUCAAAAAUUAUCUUUUUAUCAUUUACCUACUUGAGGACGAGCAAGAAUUAAGCUUAGGGAUGCUGAUAUGUCUCUGUCAUAUCUAUAUUUUUUUAUUGUUCCAUGCCAAUAUUAUAUAACUUUUAUAUACUUUUGGCAACAAUUUUUUUGGGAUAACAUAUUGAUCCAAUGCGCAGUGCCAGUUUCUGUUUGUUGCAUGUUUUUUUGCUUCAUAGAAUAUCCAUAUCAAACAAAUUCCAAACGCGAUAAAAAUUUGCGGAGAAUUAUUUUGGAAUAUAUGUGAUUUUUGGGAGGUGGAAUCAACACAAAUGAAGGCCCACAGCCUCCACUAACCACCAGGGCGCGCCUAGACCCCCUGGCGCGUGGUGGUGCCUAGUGGGCACCCCGUAAGUCAGUUGGGGCUCUUCUUCAGGCGUAAGGAAGCUUAUAUCCAGAAAAAAUCGUGUUGAAAUUUCAACGCAAUCGGAGUUACGGAUCUCCUGGAAUUUAAGAAACGGUGAAGGGCCACAAAACAGGAACACGAAGGAGAACAAAACAGAAAGAUAGGAGGGUCUAUUGCCCCUCCGCCGCCAUGGAGGCCAUAGACUGAAGGGGAAACCCUCCUCGCAUCUACGUGGGAGGCCAAGUAAGAAGAAGAAGGAGGGGGCUCUCUCCCCCUCUCUCCCGGUGGCGCCAGAGUGCCGCCGAGGCAAAGGAUUGAGAUGGCGAUGUACACCAACAACCUUGCUACCAUCAACACCAACUUUCCCCACCUCUAUUCAGCGGUGUAACCUCUUUAUUCCCGCUGCAAUUCUCUACUUAAACAUGGAGCUCAACACUAUAUAUUAUUAUCCAGUGAUAUGUGGUUAUCCUAUGAUGUUUGGGUAGAUCUGUCUUCUCCCAUGGGUUGAUUGAUGAUGAUGAUUGGUUUGAGUUGUAUAUUUUAUUUUGGUAUUGUCCUACGGUGCCCUUCAUGUCGCGCAAACGUGAGGGAUCCCCGCUGUAGGGUGUCCCAAUACAUUCAUGAUUCGCUUAUGGUGGGUGGCAUGAGUGACUGAAACACAUACCCGAAUAGGUGGCUUGGUGCGUAUAGGAUAAAGAGGACUUCAUACUUAAUGCUAUGGUUUGGUUUUACCUUAAUGAUCUUUGGUAGUUGCGGAUGCUUACUAGAGUUCCAAUCAUAAGUGCAUAUGAUCCAAGUACGUAAAGUACGUUAUCUCAUGCCUCUCCCUCAUAUAAAAUUGCAAUAAUGAUUACCAGUUUAGCUUUAGAUCACCUAGGGACAAAUAACUUUCUUGUGUGACAAAAGCUUUCUACUAAACUGCUAAAUUUAUAUCUUGCAAUUUAUUCAUAGUUUUAUUCACGCAAAGUACUUCCCAUUUCAUACUUGUUUAGGUAAAGCAAACGUUAAGUGUGGGUAGAGUAGUAUCAGUGGUCGAUAAAACUUGAGGGAAUAUUCGUUCAACCUUUAGCUCCUCGUUGGGUUCGACACUCUUCUUUAUUGAAAAAGGCUACAAAAGAUCCCCUAUACUUGUGGUUUAUAAAUAAUCCAUGAGGUACACUAAGAAAUCAUCACCAAAGGUCUUUGCAGUCCUUUGUCUCUUGCCCCUACCAAGAGUUUCCUCAUCAUCAUCCUCAGGGUUUGUCAUCAUGUGUUUUUUCAUAAUAUUCAAUGGGAAUGGCAGCCCCAGGAGUCUCCUCAGAUUCCUGUCUAGAACUGCUUUGCAUAUCCAUCGGGGCGAUGGCCCCCAGGCACGCAACGGAAACCGGAUCUCUUUCAAAAACAUUGGGGCUGGCAAAGCCCCUCAAUCCGGCUCACCCCUGGCCGACUCCCCAACAUGAGCCGGCAGGGUGCCGUAGCGCGACCAGCCGGCUAGCGCAUGCCUGCCAUCCAAGAGAAUUCAAUCCCGGCAAUAAGUAAGCAUGGCUACAGUGCUCCCUCCUUUACGCCGGCCCCGGCGGGCGCAACAACGACGCUCCCCAUGCCCCCGCCUAGGGCGGGCGGUGUCCUCGGGGCAUGGCCCUAUAGUAGGACGGCGUUGACCGUUCCAGCAUCCAGCACCCGGUAAGGUGUGCCAUAGUACCCAGCAUCCGGCAGUACCCGCACCAGGCGUCCCCGGUAUGGCCCGCACCUGGCGGUCCUGUCGGCGUUCUAGGAAUAGGGGUCCCUAGUCUUGCCUGCCUGCGACACACGGCGUGGCUUUGCUAGCAGGCCUGUACGGCCCAUCUUCAUCAACAAGGAGUCAAGACCCUCGCAAGGGGCCGAGCCUCGCGAGGCGGAAGACACAAGACAUCCACAGGAGCGGCCUCGCCAUGCCGGCUCGUGAAGGGCAGAGAGUUCAAGGUAGGGCAAACAUUGCGAGGUUCUCGUGACGUAAGCCAUGACGAUCGAGACCAGGUGGGCGCCAGCGCGUGCAAUGUCCUUGUUUCCUCUUUAGUGCUAAGGGGGCAAGCGCAAGCGCGGAGUACCAAGGCAUCAAGCAAAGGUUUCCAUAUUGGUGCAAUGAGAACAAGACUAGAAGGACGACAAGAUGGAGGUCACCAUGGAGCCCAGGACGGCGUCACCACCAGAACGUUUGGCAGGCGUAGACCACCUUUUGUUAGGAUAGCUUGUACUAGAUGUCCCCUUUCAAAUUGGCCAUUGUUGGCUCCCUUCCCACUCAAUAUUUGGGGAGAGGACCAGGGCCUCUAUAAAUAGAACUAGCCACCACCAUAGGCAGGGAGAGAGAUCAUCAAGUUUAUCCACAGCCACACAAGUGCACCAAGCACAAGAACACCUCAACCUGAGGAGGUUGUUCUUCCGCUUGUACUGUUCAUCCUCAGCCCAAGAGGCAAUCCACCACCACAAUGAAGUAGGGUAUUACACCGCAACGGUGGCCCAGACCAGUAUAAAUCUUGUGUCCUUUGUGUUGCGAGUUCGUCGAGUUAGUUCGUGAGAUCUAGGCUAAGUUAGGACGUAGAUUGAUAGGGGGGAGACCUUCACGCGCACCCCAGUGUUCGAACCUUAAGGGUUUUGCCGGAACCCGUGAUCCGACAUUUGGUGCGCCAGGUAGGGGUGCGCCAAAGCUUCCCUUCCGUUGCUCCGCGUCACGUCGCUUCAUCGUCUCCAUGGCGGAUGCGUGUUGCCCCGGUGCCGAGCGCCGGGCUGCCCUCGCCACCCCGUCGCUCUCCGUCGCCUGCCGCCAACGCCUCCACCGGCCCGGCGGGAAACGAGGAGCAAACAUCCUCGCUGCACCCCUGGGUGCGACAGGACGGCCACACCGCCACUCCAUCACCGACUCCCGCUGGUUCAUCGUCCCACGCUCGUCCCGUUCCCACGGACGCAUGGGCCGCGCUUCUCAUGGCACAUGAGCUUCUGCGCUACCACCCAGUCGAUGACCUGUACGAGGACUGGCUUGACCGCAUCGCAGAGCUUGUCUGCACCGCAGGGGGCUCCCCUGUGCUGUCCCACUCUCUGCCUCACCCUCCGCCAGCCACAGGCGACACGGCUCGUGAAGCACCUCCACCACCUCUGCCCCAAGACGGCGCCCUAGCGCCAAGACACGCGAUUCCACGGCGCGACCCACCGCGUACGGCGCCCGCGCGUGGAGAAAGAAGCUGUCAAGAAGUCCCACGACCGCAAGCAAACGCUCCGCCACUCCUCGCUUUGCCGCGCCUGGAUCGUUUACUGCGGCAAGGCCCCGCACCGCUUGCCGUAGCGGUGCACGGACGCCAAGACCAAGCUCCACCUCCAAGGAGGGCACCGGUGACCACGGCCGGCUGCCGCGCCUUCACCCCCGAGCUGCGUAGCGUCGCCUGGCCGGGAAAAUUCAAGCCAGAUCUGCCUCCUGGCUACGACGGCACCCCCGACCCCGCGGAGUUCCUGCAGCUCUACAAGAUGAGCAUCGAGGCGGCCAAUGGCAACGAGAAAGUCAUGGCGAACUAGUUUCCCAUGGCUCUCAAGGAUGGCCCCUGCUCCUGGCUCCUGAACCUGCCUCCAGGCUCAAUUUCCUCCUAGGACGAGAUGCGUAACCACUUCAUCGCCAACUUCCAGGGAACUCGCGACCGCCCGUCGGUUGUGGGUGACCUGCGCCGCAUCAGGCAACAAACAGGAGAGACCCUGCAGAAGUACAUCCAGCGCUUCAACAACGCGUGGAUCAAGAUCCCCAAGGUGACCGACGAGGCCAUCAUCUCAGCGUUCUUCGACGGUGUCCGCAACGUCAAGAUGAAGGAGGAGCUCUCCAUCCAUGAGGAGUUGUGCAUGACCCUGGAGCUAUUCAACAUCGCGGCCAAGUGUGCAAGAGUUGAGGAGGGGCGCCUCUCCCUCCUCGAGCUCCCUUUUGUGGACCCAGAGGAGAAGAAGACCAAGGCCAAGGAUGUGAAGCGCAAGGGAGCAGCCAUGCUCGUGGCGGAGCUAGACACCAACCGCGGCAGAGACCAGCCCGAGUCAUCCAAAGGCAGCCGCCCAUUCUGCGCUUUCCAUAACCUACAUACCCACAACACCAGCGAUUGUCAAGAGCUCAGAGCCAUUUGAGAAGGACGCUUUGGUCGAUGCCCUGAGCGCAGCGACCGGGGCUACAGCCGAGGAGGAGGACGUGGUGGCGGACGCUGGGACGACCGUGGCCCGCGCCAGGAGUGGCAUGGCCGGCCUUGUGAGGAUCACCGGUAGGAUCAGCCUCGCGAGGGCGCCUGGUGGGACCAGCCUCGUGAGGCUCGUCCUCAAGGCAACACAUGCCUUCCUCCACUACUGCCACCACCCAGAAGGAAUGAUGACCACCAUCAAGAUGAGGGGGCUUCUAAGAACCACGCGCUAUCGCCUGUAUCUUGGGUGGAGCUGAAGCCCCAGCCAUGCAAUGUAUCUUCAAACAAUUUGCCUGUGAAGUGAAUGCAGUUCUCCCCAAGCUCGAGGCCACGCGCCCGCUCAGAUGGACCAGGUGCCCCAUCACGUUCAGUUCGGCAGAUCAGCUCAAGUGCGCGGCUACUGCUGGCGUCCUCCCAAUGCUCUGUUCGCCAGUCAUCUGCAACGUGCAAGUUACCAAGACCCUCAUUGACGGCGGCGCAGGGCUCAAUGUCCUGUCCGUCGACACAUUCGACAACCUCCAAGUGCCAUAUGACCAGCUUCAUCCUACCAAGCCUUUCUCAGGAGUGACCGACGGCUCUACUACCCUGAUCGGUUAGGUCCGCCUCCCCGUUACCUUCGGAGAACACAACAACUACCGCACCGAACUCAUCGACUUCGAUGUCGCCCACAUCCAGCUGUCAUACAACGCCAUCCUCGGGUAUCCAGCCCUGGCCAAGUUCAUGGCGGUGACCCAUCACGGCUACAAUGUCCUCAAGAUGGUGGGAAGCGGCGGAAUCAUCACAGUCCCGUGCGAAGAAAGAGAUGUGCUGUGCUCCCUCGACCCUGCCUUCCAAGUUGCAGCAAUCGACAACCCUGACAGUCAGGGUGAGCGCCCUCUUGAGGCCACCCCUAAGAAGAAGAAUCAGCUGCAUGACAUAGGGCCUCAGGCAAGCGGCGCCUUGUCAGGAUUGGCGUCCGUGCCUGGGGUGCCUCCCUCCGUCGCAUAGGGAAGCGCGCCUAGCACCCCUCUCGGGCAGGGCUCGGGGGCUAUCUUCUGGAGGGCCUCAGGCCUUGCCAGCAUCACAAGGGAGGCGCUUGGGCACCACAUGGAGGCGUGCUUCGCGGCACGUUUCCCUCAGGAGAACACAGGGCAAGGAGUGCCCACUGUCAGGAGUUCAUCACCAACACCACUCAGGAACUGCAAGACGCGAGGCCCAUGCGCGGCAGCCGCCGCUCAUGAGGCGUAGCUCCCCAUCCAGGCAAGGAUGUGGGGUUGCACAUCUGCGUCGACGUCCUAGGGCUCAAUUGGGCCGCCUCUCAGGAGCUUCUCUGGCCUUCGCGCGUGGGGCACUGCGAGGGCCCACCUGACAGCUACGUUCGCAUGCCAUUUGGUCUGCCGAGUGUGGCGGCUGCCUAUCAGUGCAACCUGUGGAGCAUCCUAGCGGCUCUAGAGGCCAGGCACCAUGCGGUGCUGGCGGAGAUGAAGACGGUCCUCGGGGGUCCCCCUGGACUCCCAGGGCCUCCCGAGCCUCAGGGCGCCGGUGGCUCGUGAGGGGCAGCCCUCAUGAGCUAGCUUGCUUUCCAUGCUUAAUCUAUCUAUGACUAUCGUCUUCUUGACUAUCACCCACCGUGGGAGCCGAGCGCCGGCCGUCUUUCUUCAGGAUGCUUCGCGUUGUUUAAACAUUUCACAGGACCAAGACAGCAAACAAGAACCAAGACCAGGCAGAACCCGCCUUGAGGUACGGCCUCGUGAGUCCCGCGCUGGCUCACGAGUGCCCAGAUACACCUUGUCUAGCCCUGUCGUGCAAGCCACGUGUCAAGGUAGGGCUAUACACGCCCCGGGGGCUCUCCGUAGCAGGGAGUCCCCACUCAUGCAACAGAAGCAAACUGGCAAUCACCAUGGCGACCAGUGCCCUUCCUUGCGCUAGCUUGCAGGAACUUCAUGAGGGCCACAGCAGGCGGUACCAUGGACUCUCUUUGUUCUCUCAUGCGAUUCGCUUGCGUGAUAAAAGGAGGGCUCCUAAGCAUCGCGCCUCAGGAGCUCUUACUGGAUCUCCAACCCUCACCCCCUGGUCUUGACCACAACACGCGACCUAGCAUACCAGUGGUGGCUGAGCUCGCUCGAGGGAUGGGACCCAGGGACGUAGAGCAUCAAGAAGAGCGUGGAGGGGGGGGGGGGUUGGCCCGCACAGGCCAGACCUAGCCAAUCUACAGCGACCGGCGUGCGAGUCCGGCAGGACCCGAGGAGCAGACCCUAGACAGCCAAAGAUAAGUUCCCGCUCUGGAUCCACCGGUCGCUUGUGGCACGAGACCCUCGCUCAUUUCCUUCGAUACCUUCCUGCGGCAAUGUUUUCUUCCUUUCCCAUCCUAAGACAGCUGCUUGCACGCUAAAGGGGACCUCUUGAGCAUCGAGCCUCAGGAGCUCUUACUGGACCUCGGGCCUCUCACCUACUGGCCUUGACCACGGCAUUCGACCAGGCAUACCAGCGACAGCUGUAGCCUGCCUGGGGACCGGGACCUGUCAGCGUAGAGCACCAAGUUGCCGCAUGAUUGGAAAGGGGAGGCUAAGCCUCGGCAGGAUAAGCGCACACAAAUCUUCAUAACAAGGGCUAUAUUGACAAAAGGAAUUACAGAUGCUUUGCACACCCUCACACGGUCCGUUUCUUAAUUCCUUGCAGGGAACAAAAGGGAAGGAAUUCCUAGGGGUUCUAUCUAUGCGCACCAGGUGUCGCCGAAGCCAUCAUCAACAGUGGGCCACGUGAGGCCGGCGCCAGCCCCAUCCAGGUCAGCGGCGGCGGUGGCUGGACGCCGCGGCCCUGCUCCAGGCUCGGCGGGAGCUCGGGGGAACGUAGCUAUCGUCGCUCAUCUCCGAAGACUCCAAGAGCUCAGGAGAGUCACUGCACCCCCAAGAGUCACCGCUGUCGCUGGAGGAGCUGUAGUCGAGACAGGUGGCGGGCCCCGCACCCGCCCCAGCAUCGUCCUCCUUCAGGGCAGCACUCCAGGUGGUGGCCUUCCUCAUCGAAGACCUUGAAGAACAACACGGAGGCGCCAUCGUACUCGAAGUGGAUCGCGAGGGCGCCCUCCGCGCGGCAGACUCGGGCAAUCUCACCCCAGCCUCGGGUCAUGAAGAUCUUCCUGGAGGCGACGGUUCCAAUCUCCGCUCCAGUCGCUGGGGCAUCGCAGUCGGCAUGCUGUAGCCAAAGUACGCGAAGGCCCCUCGGCGGCAUCUCGGCAGCGAAGAACGGCGGGAGGCAUAUCUAGGUGCUCGGGGGCAUCACCGCCCACAACAUGAACUCGCGCAAAGAGUCCGCACCAUGGACCCCUGGGGCGACGGCGUGCGCCUCCGCGGCACGGCGACCAUGGCCCUGGCGCGGGCAGUGCCGCUCACUGCUCCUCCCUCUGGAGUCGUUAGCAUGGGCGUACAAGGGCAGCGGUUACCCAGGAGGCGAACUCUCAUACCAGGGCCUCGACACCACCGGCCUCGCGACCAUCUCGCGGCGACGAGACCUUCUUUUCUUCGGUGGGAGCAGCUCGGGCAUGUUGAGGGGAGCCUUGCCUUUCUCUGCGGCUGAGAACCUCUGGAUCGGCGCCAUGCCUACACAAGAAAGAAGUGGAGCUAGGAAGAAGAAGUAGGAGAGGCAGAGGAAAGAUGGGCAACGGGGGCUCCGCCCCCUCCCGUUUAUACCAGGAGAAGGCCAACCAGCACCCCCCACGAUCACAGGUAAUGAUGGUCUUCCUUGCAUGUCGCAGGGACUUGUCACGUCGGGCGGUUGCCGACCUAGUGUGGGGAAGCGGAGACGCCCACGUCCAAUCAACCACCACGCGUUGAUCGAGGCCGCAGGCUAUUGGGGCCCGCGACACUCCGCACUUGACCCUUGGCUUCGCCUCGAAGCCAAGCCCGAGCGCGCCUUGGGCCCGGGGGCUACUUUUGGUGUCCCCAGACUUGCCUGCCUGCGGCCCAUGACGUGGCUUUACUAGCAGGCCUGUACGGCCCAUCUUCAUCAACAAGGAAUCAAGACCCUCGCGAGGGGCCGAGCCUCGUGAGGCAGACGGCACAAGACCUCCUCAGGAGCGGCCUCGCCAUGCCAGCUCGUGACGGGCGGAGAAUUCAAGGUAGGGCAAACCUUGCGAGAUUCUCGUGACGUAAGCCAUGAUGAUCGAGACCAGGCGGGCGCCAGCACGCGUAGCGUCCUUGUCUCACUUUAGUGCUAAGGGGGCAAGCGUAGGCGCGGAGUACAGAGGCAUCAAGCAAAGGUUUCCAUAUUGGUGUAAUGAGACCAAGACUAGAAGGACGGCAAGAUGGAGGUCACCAUGAAGCCCAGGACGGCAUCACCACCAGAACCUUUGGCAUGUGAAGACCACCUUUUGUCAGGAUAGCUUGUAGUAGCUGUCCCCUUUCAAAUUGGCCGUUGUUGGCUCCCUUCCCGCUCAAUAUUUGGGGAGAGGACCAGGGCCUCUAUAAAUAGAACUAGCCACCACCAUAGGCAGGGAGAUAGAUCAUCGAGUUCAUCCACAGCCGCACAAGUGCACCAAGCACAAGAACACCUCAACCUGAGGAGGUUGUUCUUCCCCUUGUACUGUUCAUCCUCAGCCCAAGAGGCAAUCCACCAUCACACAGGAGUAGGGUAUUACACCAUAACGGUGGCCCGAACCAGUAUAAAUCUUGUGUCCUUUGUGUUGCGAGUUCGUCGAGUUAGUUCGUGAGAUCUAGGCUAAGUUAGGACGUGGAUCAAUAGGGGGGGAGACCUUCAUGCGCACCCAAGUGUUCGAACCUAAGGGUUUUGCCGGAACCCGUGAUCCGAUAGGUCCCGGCGACACCCGUGCCCGGCAGACCCGGCAGCACCCACUGCCGGCUCCCAGAGUUGACACCAGGGCCCUGGGCACAUGUAACAUUACCAUUGUAACCCCAGGCGCCGGCCUAUAAGACCUCCCGGUGCCCCUCCAUGCAGAGGGGUUCAGCUCAGUCCUUCCUUAGAACACUCACGUGCACACACAUCCAUCCCACACCGGAGAAGCAGCGCAUGCAUUGGUCUGUCUUCCUCCCCUCGAACAGCUCUAGGAGAAAACAUGUAUCCACUUCAUAUAAACAUACUCGGCAGGACUAGGGGUGUUAUCUCUCUAAAGAGCCCUGAACCUGGGUACGUCUCGUGUCACGCAUUUGUCGUGCGAACCUUGCCUCUAGAACCCACUGGUGCCCGUGUGUCUGUCCUUUUAACCAUCUGAUGGCAUCUGCCAUGAGAUCACCACGAUAGUUGGCUCCCAUCGUGGGGCAGCUCGCGGCACCAAGUGGCAUCACCUUUCAGACGAGGCCCUUCACCGAAUCCGGCGAGCGUAUCAUGCAUGGCUUGGUCCCCGCGCUCGGUACUUCGCCGGCUCGUCCGUCGUGCCCUUUGGCGUGCUGCGUGUCUACGUCGCGCUCGUCCCCAAUGAGUACCCAAGCGGGGUGCUUUACGUGGCCGACUAGCCCGUCCCCCUCGACUACAACAUCUCCAGUGACGUGGCGGAUGUCUGCACCCGCGUGGUGGCGCUCACCACUGGCUCCACUUCUUCUUUGAACAGCACCACGAAGAAGGCCGACGCGGCCAAGGCCAUAGCCACUAACGCCAGCCCAACCGAUCCGCUACACGCGACGCUGCAGAAUCUUAGGAUCCUCGUCACCACUGACAUUGAUGCCACCCAGGCCAGGGCCUGGCUCGACGAGGAGCGCGUGCGCCUGCAGGACGAGGCCACGGUGCUUGUUGCUACGCAGCGCCGGCUGGAGUCUGCCCAGUGGGAAGGCGACGCCACGUACAGCUUCAUGCCGGCCGCGGUCGAGCCCAGCCGGGUCGCCGAGGUGUGCAUGCAUGGCGGCGCCAUCAACCAAAAGUUGGCGUGGUCCCGCCCAUCUAUGAGACCCCCGUCAAGAACAAGCGCGCCACAGAGGCGACCGCUGAUGGCUUAGAGCUCCUAUAGGGUGAGGAGUUGCAGGAGUGCAUGCACGAGCUUCUUGCCGCUGUGAACACAUAGGCGAACCACCUCAGUACUCCCACGGCAUCCGGUUCGCAUCGCACCCGAGACCGUGAGCCCUGGGACACCCAGCAUGCAUCUUCUCCAUGCCCCAACGAGGCCCAGUCUGGGAAAACCCAGAGCAGACGAACCCGACGUGACCACACCGUGACAGCUGGCGACGACCUGGGCAACAAGCCGGCUCCAGACGAGUGUUGCCGACAAGAUCUCCCCCCGCCAUCCGGCCGGCGUGCCCGCCUAGCUUCCACCGGGCCGGAUCCCCGCGACCCGGUCGCCAGCCGGCUAGGCCUAUGCGACAUCAACAACGACGACGCCAGCCUCCGCAUCGAGCAGCUGGCUGUCUCCCUCCAGCUGGAGGAGAACACAGUCGGCCUAGCUUGCUUCGGGCCAUGCAUCCGAGACGAACCCUUCACCAAGGGGUUCACGCUCCCCCGGGACACCCCCAAGUACAACGGGACUAACAAGCCGGAGGAUUGGCUCACCGACUACAGCACCGCCAUCGACAUCAUGGGCGGCAACAAGUGCCUGGCCAUGCGUUAUGCCCCGCUCAUGCUACAAGACUCAACCUGGACGUGGCUAAAUAGCCUGUCGGCAGACAACGUCAACUCGUGGCUCAACUUCGAGCAAGCCUUUGUGCACAACUUCAUCGGCACCUACAAGAGGCUCGACUGGCCUCGCUAGCUCGCCAUAUGCGUCGAAUGGCCGGAUGAGACUGGACGCCAGUACAUCGCACGAUGGACCAAGCUCCAGAACAACUACGAGGGAGUCCAUGAGGUCCAGGCCAUUGAGUACUUUGUGAGUGGCUAGAGAGAUGGCACCCUCCUGAAGCACAAGCUCCUGCGCUCCAAGCCGACCACCAUGGCCACGCUCAUGGCCACGGCGGACAAGUAUGCCACGGCCGACACCUCCAUGAAGAUUCAAGUUGUGUUGGACGACACCGGCAAGGUGUUGUCGGCGCCGCCCUCCAAGCCGGCUAACAAGAGCAGCCACAACCAGAACAACUAGCAAAACAACAAGCGCAAGGCUGAGGAGCUAGGUCCCCGAUACGACAACCGCCUCGUCACGACACCCCGGGCAGAACCGGCCGGCAACCAGCAUCAGCGAACCGCCAAGACCACCUGGCAAUCCGCCAUGAGUUUUGAAGAGAUGCUCGAUGCCCCUGCAAACAGCACAGCGGUGCAAGGCCGUCUACGCACACGCUCCGGCAGUGCGCCAUCACCCAAGCGCAUCAUGAGGGGCGACAUCCAUCUGCCUCCUCCUCCGGCACCGGGUGUUGGGCAGUCGCCCCCGCCGCCGCCUCCACCCUUGACAGUCGGCGCCAUGCGUGAUGAAGCCUUCCCCAACACAAAUGAAUGCUACAUCGUCUUCACCAGCAUGGGCGGCAACAAGCACAAUGAGCGCCUCCUUUUACAGUAGGUGAACACCGUCGUCCCGGUUGUGCUUGAAUACAUGCACUAGUCGGGGCGUCCGGUCAGCUGGACCCGGGAGGAUCAUCCGGCCAUCAUGCCUACGCCCACGUCCUCGACCCCACCAUAAUUGCUGAAAAGCGCACCUGCAAGUUCUCGCAAGUCCUCAUCAAUGGUGGCAGAAGCAUCAACAUCCUCUACCGCAACACCAUGAUCCAGCUCAACAUCGAGGCAAGGCAGCUAGAGCCAACCCAGACAGUUUUCCACAGCAUCAUGUCGAGUCUCUCCUGCUCUCCAAUCGGCCGGUCCAGCCCGACAUUCUGUUCGGCACGAGUGACCACUUCCGACGCUAGCCCAUCUGGUUCGAGGAGGUGGACCUAUCUAGCCCCUACCAUGCAUUGCUAGGCCGGCCCGCACUGGUGAAGUUCAUGGUGGUACCCCACUACGCCUCCUUGAAGAUGAAGAUGCCGGGUCCCAAGGGCCUCAUCACUAUUUCUGACGACUACAAGAAAUCCCUGGAGUCUGCCCGAGCCAGUGCCAACCUGGUAGAGUCGCCAGUAAUGCCGAGGAGCGGCGCCAGCUCGACCGGAUUGUGGCGCUGGCCGGCGAGCAUCGGGUUGUGCCGGCUCUGGCCAAGGAGUCAACUGGCGAGGCCUCAUUCUAGCCGUCCAAGGACACCAAGAAGAUCUCGCGCAACCAGAUCGACCCGAACUGCAGCUAACACAUGGUGGUGGGAACCCGCCUCAAUAGCAAAUAGCAUUGCAAGCUUGUCGACUUCCUCCAUGUGAAUCGGGAUUAUCUUUGCAUGGUCCCCAAAGGACAUGUCGGGUGUUCCGAGGAAGUAGGCUGAGCACAAACUACAUGUCCAAAAGGAUGCCAAUCCUGUCCAUCAACCCCUGUGUUGCUUUCUUGAGGAGAAGCGAAGAACCAUUGGUGAAGAGGUUGCCCGGCCGCUCGGCAUCGGCUUCAUCAUGGAAGUUUUUCACCCCGUGUGGCUAGCGAAUCCAUUCCCCGUCCUGAAGAAGAAUGACACUUGGCGCAUGUGUAUCGAGUACACCAGCCUCAACAAAGCAUGCCCCGAGGAUCCUUUUGCCCUGCCGCAGAUAGAUCAGGUGAUCGACUCCAUGGCCGGCUGCGAGCUCUUAUGCUUUCAAGGCGCUUACUCUAGCUACCACUAGAUCGAGCUGGAACCGGCUGAUGCCCUAAAGACAUCCUUCAUCACGCCCUUUAGGGCCUACUGCUACAUCACCAUGUCGUUCGGCUUGAAGUACGUUGAUGCCACCUUCAAGCGCUGCAUGAAAAAGUGCCUGCUACAACAACUCGGUCGCAACACGCAUGCCUACGUCGAUGACAUAGUGGUGAAGACCAAGCAGCACCUCACUCUCCUAGCCAACCUCAAGAAAACUUUCACCAACCUCCGCAGGUACAAGAUCAAGCUCGACCCGAAGAAGUGCGUAUUCGGUGUGCCAGCUGGAAGGUUACUCGUCUUCCUCUUUGCAGAGCGCGACACUGAAGCAACCCCAUAAAAAUAUCAAGCCAUCGAGCGCAUGUGCAAGCCGUCCCGGCUGCGCAAUGUACAUAUGUUUACAUGCUGCUUGUCCUCUCUCAGCCGGUUUCUCAGCCUGGGCGAGAGGGCCUUUCCCCUGGUUCAGAUAAUGAAGAAGACAUCGUCGGUCAAGUGGAACGACAGGGCGGAUGAAGCUUUCCGGGAUCUCAAGCGCAUGCUCUCCACCGCCACUACAAAAAAAGACACAUCCGUCAUAUUUUGGGCCGAAUUUUUUUUCGUCAUGCUUAUGACACUUCUAUGACAAUAAUUGUGACAAAACUCGGCAUCAUCAUAGAUGUGGUGGGAUGCUACCUCUAUGAAAAAAAAUCAUGCUAGAAAAUGGGCUUUUCGUCCUGGGUGGGCCGGAGACGCAGCUGCAUGACAUUCUUUGGGCCAUCCAUGACGGAAAAAACAUGGUAUAAGCGAGUGCGAGGAAAAUAUCAGGGAGUUCCCGGUUACGGUGGGUGGUCGGGGCCGAGUGAUGCAUGGAGGUUUGCCUGUUUCUCUCGUACACGUACGCGCGUGUGCAUGAGGCAUUGCGCUCUAACUGAACCCGAGUGUGGCAUUGGGCUCUAACUAAACCCGAGCGAUUGCACUAGCUACAUUACUAAACCCUGAUCGAUCCCUUACUGUUAAAUGAAACCGAGUGAUUCCUUUGCAACUGUUGCUAACUAAAGCCGAUCGAUGCUGCCUCUUGUUGAACAGUGAGCAUUGUUGGGGGGUGGAUGAACAGUUCCCGAUGGGGGUGGAUGAAUAGGACCCCGUGGUAGUAGAUGCCAUUGUCGCUAGAUGAACAGGACCCCGAUCGAGCCGGUUGGGGUGGAUGAACAUGACCCCGUAGAGGGCUGAUUGAACAGUAGCUGGAAGAGGGCAGGAUGAACAGUAGCCCGUGGAGGGGUGGUUGAACAUAGCCCCGUGAAGAGGGCUGGUUGAACAGUAGCUGGUGGAGGAGCGGUGGAGGCUGGAUGAACAGGAGCUCGUGCAUGAACAGUCACAGGUGGAGGCUGGAGGAGGUCGACGGUGGAUGAACAUUAGCCCGUGGAGGCAGUCAUCGGUGGAGAUGAACAGUAUCUUGUGGAGUCCCGUUUUGCGGUACGCCACACUCCUCCCGAUGAACACGACCCCCGUUUCGACCUAGCGCUCCAACACAAGUCUGUUUCCUCCGUUUUGAGGUACGCCACACCCCUGCCGAUAAACAUGACCCUGUUUUGACCAUAGGAGGUCCAAGAGAAGUCUGUUUCCUCCAUUUUGCAGUACGCCAGACCCCUCCAUUUUAACUGUGGCCGGUCAAACACAAGGCCAUUUCCUCCGUUCGGCGGUACGCCAGGCAUUGUUUCAAUCGGCUAUUCCGUCCAAGCCGGUUGGCUCCCGAUGAACACGACGAUGACACCGUUUCUCUAUUCCGACCUAGCCAUGUACACGAGCCCUGGCCAUACGUAUGCGCGAGUAGGCAUUCGAGACCCUGCCCGUAUGUACGUACAUGGCCGUAUUUACUUUCUUGCACCCCUGGCUGUACGUACAUGUACACGAUAUUAACGGGACUGUGUGACAUGCUACGUGCUCGCCUCUACUUAGACACGUGUGCGUCUAUACUAUGACACGUGCCCUCCUUACACGGACACGGUUCAUCGCUGCAGCCUAUAGACAGACCGAUCGUAUGUACGCACACAUUCACGACCACAAUGACAACACUACGUACGCUUCGACCAGGUGGGUCCCGACUCUCAGGCACUUCAUUGCGUGUGAAGAUGUAACUGGUGGGUCCCAGCAGUCAGGGGGGGAACCUUUUUUCGUGAAAUAUGGUUGCCCGUCUAGUGGAUCCCUGCUGUCAGGUGGAGGGAUCAUUAUUUUCCGCAUACUAAGGAGGCACUUCCUUGCUGCGGUAGUAGACCCAACUGUCAGCCUCUCCACAUACAGUACUCUUCCGAUGGAAGUCGUUCGUUGACCACAUUGACCAUGCCGCGCUGAGAGCACCAAGGCGGUGGACGAUGGCAAGGCCUAGGAAGGGGACGACGCAGAGCCGAGAACACGCGACAGUGGGUGCCCAUGCAGAGAGGAGUACGAGGGGUCACUGGUUCGGCUGCGGUGUUAGGCUGUCGUCGCCGCAGGGCCUGGCCAGCAGUGGGAAUAGUAGAGGGCGGUGAGGCCUCCACAACAACACAACCGGCCAUGGGAGGCAGGAGCAGGUGGCACAACCGGCCUUAGUUUGGGCGGCUGGAGCAAGAAGACCAGAGGUUGAAGAAGCACUACGGCCGUUAGAUGGACAUCGUACGGUCACUGGAGCUAGAAUCGUUCAUAUUGACUAAGUUGACAGAGCCCUUCAUCCGGGUCAACUUAGUAGGCCCACAACUCAGCCACCCACUAUGGUGGGUCCUAGCUAGCAGGGGGAGUAUUCAUUUUUUUGUGCGUAAUAAGGAGGCACUUCCUUGUGUUCGAAGAUAUAGCUGGUGGGUCCGAGCUGUCAGCGGGGGGAACAUUUUGUUUCCCGAAAUACAGAGGCCCAUCCGUUGGGAACCAGCUGUUAGGUGGAGGAAUCAUUAUUUUGUGCGUAAUAAGGAGGCAUUUGCUUGGGUGUGGCCGUGGACCCAGCUGUCAGCCUCUCCACAUAUACUCCCCUUCCAAUGGAUGUCGUUUGUUGACCACGUUGACCGCGCCGAGCCGAGCGCAUCCAAGCUGGUGGACGACAUCGAGGCCCCGGACAGCAAUGAGCCGUAGAUGGGAAGACACGAGAGUGGAGUCGCAGACGGAGAGGUGUAUGAGGGUUAACUGGUUCUGGUCCGGUGUGGUUCAGCAGUCGGUGGAGAACAACAGGAGGUGUGGAGGGGUGGAGGAAUGGCCUGAUCGGCAGUGGGGUAGUGCUUCACAGCAAAGCGUGCUAAGUUGAGCUGCUAGCAGCACGAGGCGAGAGCAGGUGGUCCCGGCGGUGCUGGAGGAAGGAGAAGAGAGAUUGAAGAUGGAUGCCAGUUGUUGGAUAUAAAUCCAACGGCUAACGAUGUAAGAAUCAUUUGUUGACAAAGUUGACAACGACUUGCGUUGGCUUCGACCUAUUGGCCUGGAUUUCAGCCUCCAAAAAUGUGGCACAUAUUCAACCCAUUUUUUCAGAAUUUAUAGUCAAUUUGAUCUAUUUUUUUAGAAUUACAGUCCAUUUGAUGGGUUGAGUGGACAAAUAAUGUAGCGUCCAUGCGUCUCAUUUAAUUUUUUUCCUAAAAAAUUACAGGCCAUUUGCACUUUCUCAAAAUACACGAUUUUGCUGGGCUAAUUCUAAUUAUAAUGUUGGGUUGGGCGCAACAAUGUUAUCAGAAAAUAAAUAGGGGCCGAGCAUUAUGUUAUAAAUAUAUUUAAAUAAUAAGUGAUUUAUUAUUACAUUGUUCCUUAAAUCUUACCAAGCUUUUGUACACAGUCACCAGGAUUUUCGUUGCCAAAGAAAUCCUGGAUUUCACUGUUAAGAAAUUAUUUUAUAAGUUAAUAAGAUGUGGGAUAUUGUUUUCUUACAUACGUAAGUAUCUGUUAAAUACAUGAUGACAAUAAUAAUAAUAUAUAAUAAUAUAUGAAAUAAUUUAAACAUAUAUAAUAUAGUUAGAAGGGAAACAUAAAUUGGACGAGGCGUUCCUAUUCUUAUCUUUACCUAAUAUUAAAGGGAGGAUUGUUUCUCCACUUUUUUGGUUUGUUGUGGGACUCACAUGUUUUUUCGUCCGUCAUGCAAUUAAUGUUUAUUAUCGUUUGUCACAAAUCCUCUCACGCGAGUUUGCUUUUUGUCCGAUGAAAAAAUCAUAAAAACAAAGUGCCAAGGUGGGACUCGAACCCACGACCUACAGCUGCAACGGCCGCAUACAUAGCCAGUACGCUAGGGUAACUUCAGUGGACAAUUUGCAGCGCUCCUGUUAAAGAAAAGAACGGCAGUGGCAAAACACAACAACAGUUAGCAAAAAGUUGUGCAUGGAAUGGGACCAAUCACAUAACCUCCCAUGAGUUAACAACGUCCCUAGCCACUGUAGUUUUUUUUAAUUUUUUUCUAAAAAUUGCAGCAAAAGAUUUAAACUUUUUAAAGUUUUCACACAUGUUUUAAAAGAAGUGAACAAAUUUUGGAAUACUAAACUAUUUUUGAAUUUCUGGACAAAUUUGAAAACAUGAUUUUUUUUAAAAAAUGAACUAAUUUUGAAAAAUGUAAACAAUUUUUAAGAUUCCGAACAUUUGUUGAAAAAAGAAAAAAACCUUGAGUGAGUAAAUUGGACUAGCUCGUACAUCUCUCUUGUCACACCCUAGCUAGUUCAUGCAUUAGAGUGUUGCAUCAUGUUUAUCUUCCCAGAAAACUGAAAUGAGGAUGACAGAACCCCCAGCACCCCCCUGGAACAACUAGGGUUUACUAAAAACUUUUCCAAUGAACCUGAAAUGCCCUUCUAAAAAGUCCACCCUUUUUGUUUUGGGUUAAAACCUUGAGAAAAUUCCUUAUUUAACACUAUCUUAAAAUCUGCUUCCUUAUUUGACAUUGAAAAAGUUUUUCUUCCCUAUUUCACACAAGUUCUAAAUUUUAUUCCCUAUAUGACAUUUCCGUCCAUUUUGAGCCUAAAUGACACCUAAAAAGACUCUUUUGCCCCUCAUGUGGUAUGUGUGUGGGGGGCAAUAGCGCACACACACAACAUCAGUGCGAGGGCAGGAGCACACACGCAGCAACACAUACACAUGCACCAACACACACACACACACACGCACACACACACGCAACAACAGACAUGCGCGCGUGCACACACACACUCGCACACACACAGCAACACACAUGCACGCGCGCACAGACGCAGCAACGCACACGCACACACACACAUACACACACACGUAGCAGCACACAUGCAGGCAACACAUAGGCACGCAACAGCACACACACACACACACGCGCGCGCAUGUACACACGCAGUAGCAAGCACACACAUAGCAGCACACAUGCACACACACAUGCAGCAGCAAACAUGUGCGCGUGCAUCCACACACGCAACAGCACACACGCGCGUGCACACACAUACCGCAUGAGGGGCAAAAUCAUCUUUUCAGGUGUCAUUUAGGCUCAAAAUGGACGAAAGCGUCGUAUAGGGAAUAGAAUUUAGGACUAGUGUCAAAUAGGGAAGAAAAACGUUUCCAGUGUCAAAUAAGGAACCAGAUUUUAAGACAGUGUCAAAUAAGGAAUUUUCUCUAAAACCUUUGACAAAAAUGGUGCACACUUUUCUAGGACAUGUUAAGGUCAUUGGAUUAAUUCAUUACUAAUUGCAUUUGGGCAAUUUAAAUCCUAUAAAUAUUUUAAAAUGCCCAAAUAAUCCUGAAAGUAUUUUUAGGGUGUUGAGAAUAUUUUCAAAUGUGCCUCUGAAUAUUUUCAGGUUUUUCCUAAAUGAAAUAGUAUUUUUACUAUUUCAAAACACAAAACAGAAUAAACAGAAAACAAAAAAAAA